AUUGAACGCUGGCGGCAUGCUUUACACAUGCAAGUCGAACGGUAACAGGGUGCUUGCACCGCUGACGAGUGGCGAACGGGUGAGUAAUGCGUCGGAACGUGCCGAGUAGUGGGGGAUAACGCAGCGAAAGUUGUGCUAAUACCGCAUACGUACUGAGGUAGAAAGUGGGGGACCUUCGGGCCUCACGCUAUUCGAGCGGCCGACGUCUGAUUAGCUAGUAGGUGAGGUAAAGGCUCACCUAGGCGACGAUCAGUAGCGGGUCUGAGAGGAUGAUCCGCCUCACUGGGACUGAGACACGGCCCAGACUCCUACGGGAGGCAGCAGUGGGGAAUUUUGGACAAUGGGCGAAAGCCUGAUCCAGCCAUGCCGCGUGUCUGAAGAAGGCCUUCGGGUUGUAAAGGACUUUUGUCAGGGAGGAAAUCCCUAGUGCUAAUACCGCUGGGGGAUGACAGUACCUGAAGAAUAAGCACCGGCUAACUACGUGCCAGCAGCCGCGGUAACAC
rnacentral:rRNA from 1 species